rnacentral:rRNA from 1 species
AGCAGCCGCGGUAAUUCCAGCUCCAAUAGCGUAUAUUAAAGUUGUUGCAGUUAAAAAGCUCGUAGUUGAAUUUCGGGAUUUGUCAGUUGGUCGGGCUUCACUGUCCGUAUUGACUUGAUGGAUUCUUACCUUCUGAAUAACCAGCGUGCUAUUAAGUUAGUGCGUUGGGGAAGCAGAUCUAUUACCUUGAAAAAAUUAGAGUGCUUAAAGCGAGCUAGUGCUUGAAUAGAUUAGCAUGGAAUAAUAAAAUAGGACGGCAUGGUUCUAUUUUGUUGGUUUCUAGGAUCACCGUAAUGAUUAAUAGGGAUAGUUGGGGGCAUUAGUAUUCAAUUGUCAGAGGUGAAAUUCUUGGAUUUAUUGAAGACUAACUUCUGCGAAAGCAUUUGCCAAGGAUGUUUUCAUUAAUCAAGAACGAAAGUUAGGGGAUCGAAGACGAUCAGAUACCGUCGUAGUCUUAACCAUAAACUAUGCCGACUAGGAAUCGGACGAUGUUAAUUUUAUAAUGACCCGUUCGGCUAAC